CACCAGACUCCUACGGGAGGCAGCAGUGGGGAAUAUUGCACAAUGGGGGAAACCCUGAUGCAGCGACGCCGCGUGAGUGAAGAAGUAUUUCGGUAUGUAAAGCUCUAUCAGCAGGAAAGAAAAUGACGGUACCUGACUAAGAAGCCCCGGCUAACUACGUGCCAGCAGCCGCGGUAAUACGUAGGGGGCAAGCGUUAUCCGGAUUUACUGGGUGUAAAGGGGGCGCAGACGGCGAUGCAAGCCAGGAGUGAAAGCCCGGGGCCCAACCCCGGGACUGCUCUUGGAACUGCGUGGCUGGAGUGCAGGAGGGGCAGGCGGAAUUCCUGGUGUAGCGGUGAAAUGCGUAGAUAUCAGGAGGAACACCAGUGGCGAAGGCGGCCUGCUGGACGAUGACUGACGUUGAGGCUCGAAAGCGUGGGGAGCAAACAGGAUUAGAUACCCCAGUAUG
rnacentral:rRNA from 1 species